CAGCCGCCGCGGGAAUACGGAGGGUGCAAGCGUUAAUCGGAAUUACUGGGCGUAAAGCGCACGCAGGCGGUCUGUCAAGUCAGAUGUGAAAUCCCCGGGCUUAACCUGGGAACUGCAUUUGAAACUGGCAGGCUAGAGUCUUGUAGAGGGGGGUAGAAUUCCAGGUGUAGCGGUGAAAUGCGUAGAGAUCUGGAGGAAUACCGGUGGCGAAGGCGGCCCCCUGGACAAAGACUGACGCUCAGGUGCGAAAGCGUGGGGAGCAAACAGGAUUAGAUACCCCAGUAGUCCCUGUCUCUUAUAC
rnacentral:rRNA from 1 species